UCCGUCCUUUUACUAUGCAGAUUAUUUUUUUACGUGCCUGUUCCUUCCAAUAGACUGGGAACUCCCAAAGGGAGUUCUCUAUUUUUGUCUCUAUCUUGUCUCUAUCGGUCUUUCUGCCUCAAUAUGUAGCUCGCAUCAGCUGUCAGCUCCAAGCGGACUUUUAGAAAAUGUUUUGAAGGCAGCAGCGAGCAGCGGUGCUGCCCUUCAGCCUCAGCACUCUGUCCUUGUGAAGUCCAUCUCCAUACAAAGAGCUUUAACCAGAAGGUGCAUGCACUAGUGGAAGGAGAAGGCUGCUUUUUGAUUCUCCUAGACAGAGGCUGUGAUAAGCAAGGUCUGGACAGUCUGCGCUGCCUGGGAAUGUGCAGGUGACUAUGGAGACAGCGUGGAAGGACAAGAAUGGGCAUAUGGUCCUCAUUGGCACAGCAUAACAAAGUAAUUAAAAAUGUCUUAAAAUGCAGAAACC
rnacentral:lncRNA from 1 species